UACAGAGGGGGCAAGCGUUGUUCGGAAUUACUGGGCGUAAAGGGCGCGUAGGCGGCCUGUUAAGUCGGACGUGAAAUCCCUCGGCUCAACCGGGGAACUGCGUCCGAUACUGGCGGGCUUGAAUUCGGGAGAGGGAUGUGGAAUUCCAGGUGUAGCGGUGAAAUGCGUAGAUAUCUGGAGGAACACCGGUGGCGAAGGCGGCUUCCUGGACCGACACUGACGCUGAGGCGCGAAAGCGUGGGGAGCAAACAGG
rnacentral:rRNA from 1 species